GUCGCAUGAAUCCCAUCGCUUCAAGAGGAUGCAACAAUGGGAUUUUCAAGCACAGAAGACAUUAUUUUAAUUGAAUUAGUGGCACAGCAUUCUGCUUUAUAUGAUCCGAAACACGUAAUAUACAGUGCACAACGUGCGUGAAAAUAUUUGGGCAGAAAUUGGAGAAAAAUGGGGAAAGACAGCUGAUAUCUGCAAAAAGAGGUGGAGGAAUAUGCGGGGCACCUAUAAAAACACAAGAAAGACAUGAAAAUGGUGACUGGCUCUGCAUCAGAGUCCUGACCUAGAAAAUGGGCACUUGCUGAUGCGUUAUCCUUUCUUGAUGCUGUACAUUAUGAAAGAGUAUCUCUAUCCAGCAUUCCACUAGAUGAGUAAGAAGAAGAUAACAGUACUGCAACGCUGUUUUCUCCCAGGCCAACUACAUCUAAUGUGAAUCUUGAUGAUGAUGAUGAUAGUUAUGAAUCACGUCACAUUUCCAAUAUGCCUGUGCAGAGUACUGAGGUACAAAAGCAGUCCAUUCCCGAAACUGCUGAACAAUCAGACAGUCAGGACAGUCAGCAUUCACCAGCCUCAACUACUUCUAAAGAGAAAACAUCUGUAAAAAGGGGGAAAACUCCUACUACAAAGAGAAGAAAAGUGGGAGAAAGUAUUUUAAAAUUUCGUCAACAAAGAUCUAAUGAAUGGAACAAAAUUACUCAAACCCUUACUAACAAUUCAGAUUCAAACAAAGCUGCUGAGGAUGAAAUUGAAGCUUUCUUCAAAUAUAUGGCCAUGUUAGUAAGAAAUUUACCGCCAUUUAUGAUUUCAGAAGCCAAGAUGAAGAUUCUUAACGUUGUAUCGGAGUUGGAAUUUAGGUCGCUUCAGAUGUCCCAACCAUCACCAUCGACCACUUCACUCGAUUCUUCUAUUUCAGAGGCUUCAGGGAGCCAGAGCCAGUCACUGUUAGAGUACACAUUUAUACAGAAUUUGGAAUAAUGAAAUUCGUAAAUAGAGCAAUUGCAAAGGCUGCUCUCUACUUCAAAAUUGUCUUUGUAUUUUUUUUACUAGUGACUUAAAAACUAUGAUAUUUAAACAAACAUAGUUUAACAUGUGAUAUGAUGUGAAACUUGCAUACUAUUUACAUAUAAUGAAGU